CCACUGAACUCAUGGGACUUGUAGAUGUCUUCUCCAGACCUGGGGUGGAAAUUUAGCACAUAGCCUCCCACUGUCAGCCAUGAAAGCCACAACGCCGACAGAGUCCUCUAUGGUUGACAAAACACCCUUCUACUUACCAACACACAUAGCUUGAGCCUCUCAACAGCCCCCUGGGCAGAUUCCCAGACCAGUUUCAUGGGGUUUUCAAGGGUCAGAUGAAAUGAUUCAGUGCAGGUGAACACCUCUGAGAUCUAUCUAACACCGCCGUUUUUACAGAUGAGGAACUGAAGCAAAGAGAAGGGAUGGCCCUUGCCCAAGAAUGCAGAUCAUUCCUCCUCUAGGCUCACCACUGGUGCCACCAUUCUGCCUCAACUUACCACUAACACCUUAGUUAGAAUUGAUCCUAGAGGAUCACCUGUUUCCAAACCUCCCCCCUCCUGAAGAGCAGGUAUGAUGUGGAAGUGGGAAGAGAAAGACCCAAUGAGGUGAGCUCUGAAUCCUUGAUAAUUCUGUACGCCAGCUGGAGGUCUGCUGAACAUCAUGCCAGAGAUCAUCACUUCUCAUCCUGUCUCAUCCUCUGACUCUAUCUGACUACUGGCUUCAGCAUUUCACACAGAAAAUUCUAGAACAAGACUCAGAUCUUCUUUUGUGGGAUCUGCUAAGAAGGGGCUCUUCCAACUCAAGGUUGAGAAUGGUUUUCAGAAGGUCCUUCAAAAGCAGAACAGUUUCCAUUUCAGGUGUGGGACUGAAGGUGGAGCAUCAAUUUUCCCAAGAUCUCUUUAAACACAAAUGUGCCCAGCCUGUCUCCAGGGCCUUCCAAUCAGUCUCCUGGGGACCACGCCAUCUGCCACAGUCCUGCUCCACUCUGCGCCUAGAGUGAUCUUUUCAACGCCUCCGUGAACAGUCUCCCUGCUGCCCUCCUCCUUGUACCCAAAUCCUUCAGCAGGUCUCCGUCUUCCUCAGAAGCCAGAUCAACGCCCCACCCGAAUGUCUGCAAAGGCCCAAAGAGUACCCGGCCUCUCCUGCAUCCUCUCAUGGCGCCUGGGCUCCCAGGCCCUUCUCACCACCCCCUUCCUCAGCAGACAGCACCCCGGAAGCCUCUGGGGUGCUGUGUGGGAAUCAGAUAUACAGAGUCUGAAGUUGCCUGGGAGGCCCCUGGCAGGCCCUGCCCACCCGUAAGGAGGCAGAGAGGGUACGCACUUCAAGGAGGGUCCGUGCAGGUCAUCCCAUGGCCUCUGCCGCUGACUCUGGUGAAUGCAGAGUUUAAAUCUAUACAGGUCAAGCAAGGCCUUAUAAAAGUUAAGGAAACAUUAGGUUAGGACAACACAAGCUGAGGGAGGUCCUUCCUUUUGUCAAGAAAAUGGUGUGGCAGCCACCAAAAUCCCGGGGAGAGGAGAUUCCCAGCUUAAAGUUAAAUAAAACUGCAUCACACAGUGAAAGAGCCCGUGCCCUUGGAAUCCCUCUCAUCAAGGGAAAGAAGAAAGUCUCAACUGGAUGCUAACGGACCUCUAAUGCCCCUCAAGACUUCACACUCUCUUGCCAGCAGAGGGGGGCCUUCCAAGGGCUCCUGGCCUUCUGCCCACAGCAGACUGCAGCGGGAAUCCAUUUACCAUCGAACGUUAGAGUGUUUUUACCCUGUGGCACUCUCUUAACGCCAGGCGAUGUUGGCUUUCCAUUAUCCGUGCGCAGAAAUAGUUUCUCUUUAAAAUAAAUGUAUUUGCG